rnacentral:rRNA from 1 species
AGAACGAACGCUGGCGGCAUGCCUAAUACAUGCAAGUCGAACGAACACUUCGGUGUUAGUGGCGCACGGGUGCGUAACGCGUGGGAAUCUGCCCUUGGGUUCGGAAUAACAGUUGGAAACGACUGCUAAUACCGGAUGAUGACGAAAGUCCAAAGAUUUAUCGCCCAGGGAUGAGCCCGCGUAGGAUUAGCUAGUUGGUGAGGUAAAGGCUCACCAAGGCGACGAUCCUUAGCUGGUCUGAGAGGAUGAUCAGCCACACUGGGACUGAGACACGGCCCAGACUCCUACGGGAGCAGCAGUAGGGAAUAUGGACAAUGGGCGCAAGCCUGAUCCAGCAAUGCCGCGUGAGUGAUGAAGGCCUUAGGGUGUAAAGCUCUUUACCGAGAUGAUAAUGACAGUAUCGGAGAAUAAGCCCCGGACUAACUCCGUGCCAGCAGCCGAC